UACGGAGGGUGCUAGCGUUGUUCGGAAUACUGGGCGUAAAGCGCGUGUAGGCGGCCGAUUAAGUCUGGUGUGAAAGCCCGGGGCUCACCCCCGGAAGUGCGCUGGAAACUGGUCGGCUAGAGUAUGGGAGAGGAAAGUGGAAUUCCCCGGUGUAGCGGUGAAAUGCGUAGAUAUCGGGAGGAACACCAGCGGCGAAGGCGGCUUUCUGGACCAAUACUGACGCUGAGACGCGAAAGCGUGGGGAGCAAACAGG
rnacentral:rRNA from 1 species